rnacentral:lncRNA from 1 species
AGUCCAUCCGUUGUAGAAGUUCGCCUAAAAUCUAUCCACUGUAAAAGUUCAGACGGAGUCCAGUUCUUGUAGCAGUCCGGAGGGAGACCACUUGUUGUAGAAGCCCGGUUAAAGUCCGCCUGCAAUCGAAGUUCGGAAGGAAUUCGCUUACAGUAGAAGCUCGGAUGAAGGCCGUUUGCUGUGGAAGUUCGGAUGAAGACCGGUUGUCG